CCAGCUAAGAGGGCGCUGCCCAGAAAUCCUGGUGACAGAUGGUGGGCCCUGUGGGUGAAGCCUGUGUGCCCUUGUUGUCCUGCAGAGGGAACAAGCAGGACGAGGAGGAGAACCAGGCUUUCUCAGUUGUCCUCUCUUCCUGAAUCCAUCUGUGGUGUCAACCAGUCAUGGAUGCAGGAGACUCUGAAGUUAAGCCCAGCAGCACCACACUGAACAUCCUGAGGAAGAGACCUGAAUACUUAAAGCCCCAAAACCUUGCCUCCAAAAAC
rnacentral:lncRNA from 1 species